rfam:Ornithorhynchus anatinus chromosome 4, whole genome shotgun sequence.
CACCUCUCAGGGUUGCACCUGGAGAAUUUCCAGUACUCUACCCGUUUCUACUAUGGGAGGGAGAGUCAAACAGAGGCAUACCCAUUCCAUUCCUAGCUUGGCAGUGACUAGCGAGUGGAAGACAAUCUGUUAAAGUC